rnacentral:rRNA from 1 species
GUAGCUUGCUACACCAUAGACUGUGAGUUGCGAACGGGUGAGUAACGCGUAGGUAACCUGCCUGGUAGCGGGGGAUAACUAUUGGAAACGAUAGCUAAUACCGCAUAAUAUUGAUUAUUGCAUGAUAAUUGAUUGAAAGAUGCUAUUGCAUCACUACCAGAUGGACCUGCGUUGUAUUAGCUAGUAGGUGAGGUAACGGCUCACCUAGGCGACGAUACAUAGCCGACCUGAGAGGGUGAUCGGCCACACUGGGACUGAGACACGGCCCAGACUCCUACGGGAGGCAGCAGUAGGGAAUCUUCGGCAAUGGACGAAAGUCUGACCGAGCAACGCCGCGUGAGUGAAGAAGGUUUUCGGAUCGUAAAGCUCUGUUGUAAGAGAAGAACGGGUGUGAGAGUGGAAAGUUCACACUGUGACGGUAUCUUACCAGAAAGGGACGGCUAACUACGUGCCAGCAGCCGCGGUAAUACGUAGGUCCCGAGCGUUGUCCGGAUUUAUUGGGCGUAAAGCGAGCGCAGGCGGUUAGAUAAGUCUGAAGUUAAAGGCUGUGGCUUAACCAUAGUACGCUUUGGAAACUGUUUAACUUGAGUGCAGAAGGGGAGAGUGGAAUUCCAUGUGUAGCGGUGAAAUGCGUAGAUAUAUGGAGGAACACCGGUGGCGAAAGCGGCUCUCUGGUCUGUAACUGACGCUGAGGCUCGAAAGCGUGGGGAGCGAACAGGAUUAGAUACCCUGGUAGUCCACGCCGUAAACGAUGAGUGCUAGGUGUUAGGCCCUUUCCGGGGCUUAGUGCCGCAGCUAACGCAUUAAGCACUCCGCCUGGGGAGUACGACCGCAAGGUUGAAACUCAAAGGAAUUGACGGGGGCCCGCACAAGCGGUGGAGCAUGUGGUUUAAUUCGAAGCAACGCGAAGAACCUUACCAGGUCUUGACAUCCCGAUGCCCGCUCUAGAGAUAGAGUUUUACUUCGGUACAUCGGUGACAGGUGGUGCAUGGUUGUCGUCAGCUCGUGUCGUGAGAUGUUGGGUUAAGUCCCGCAACGAGCGCAACCCUUAUUGUUAGUUGCCAUCAUUCAGUUGGGCACUCUAGCGAGACUGCCGGUAAUAAACCGGAGGAAGGUGGGGAUGACGUCAAAUCAUCAUGCCCCUUAUGACCUGGGCUACACACGUGCUACAAUGGCUGGUACAACGAGUCGCAAGUCGGUGACGACAAGCUAAUCUCUUAAAGCCAGUCUCAGUUCGGAUUGUAGGCUGCAACUCGCCUACAUGAAGUCGGAAUCGCUAGUAAUCGCGGAUCAGCACGCCGCGGUGAAUACGUUCCCGGGCCUUGUACACACCGCCCGUCACACCACGAGAGUUUGUAACACCCGAAGUCGGUGAGGUAACCUUUUAGGAGCCAG